GACGAACGCUGGCGGCGUGCUUAACACAUGCAAGUCGAACGGAAAGGCCCUGCUUUUGUGGGGUGCUCGAGUGGCGAACGGGUGAGUAACACGUGAGUAACCUGCCCUUGACUUUGGGAUAACUUCAGGAAACUGGGGCUCAUACCGGAUAGGAGCUCCUGCUGCAUGGUGGGGGUUGGAAAGUUUCGGCGGUUGGGGAUGGACUCGCUGCUUACCAGCUUGUUGGUGGGGUAGUGGCUUACCAAGGCUUUGACGGGUAGCCGGCCUGAGAGGGUGACCGGCCACAUUGGGACUGAGGGACGGCCCAGACUCCUACGGGAGGCAGCAGUGGGGAAUAUGGCACAAUGGGCGGAAGCCUGAUGCAGCAACGCCGCGUGCGGGAUGACGGCCUUCGGGUUGUAAACCGCUUUCGCCUGUGACGAAGCGUGAGUGACGGUAAUGGGUAAAGAAGCACCGGCUAACUACGUG
rnacentral:rRNA from 1 species